rnacentral:rRNA from 1 species
CCAGACUCCUACGGGAGGCAGCAGUGGGGAAUAUUGCACAAUGGGGGGAACCCUGAUGCAGCGACGCCGCGUGAGUGAAGAAGUAUUUCGGCAUGUAAAGCUCUAUCAGCAGGGAAGAAAAUGACGAUACCUGACUAAGAAGCCCCGGCUAACUACGUGCCAGCAGCCGCGGUAAUACGUAGGGGGCAAGCGUUAUCCGGAUUUACUGGGGGUAAAGGGAGCGCAGACGGCUGUGCAAGUCUGGAGUGAAAGGCGGUGGCCCAACCCCCGGACUGCUCUGGAAACUGUAAAGCUGGAGUGCAGGAGAGGUAAGCGGAAUUCCUAGUGUAGCGGUGAAAUGCGUAGAUAUUAGGAGGAACACCAGUGGCGAAGGCGACUUUCUGGACUGUACCUGACGCUGAGGCGCGAAAGCGUGGGUAGCGAACGGGAUUAGAUACCCGGGUACA